AAAGGAAGAAAAGGGAAGAAAAGAAGAAGAACAAAAACCUAGCUAAGAAAUUCAAGAGAAAUUCAUAAAAUUUCAAAGAAUCAAGUGACAAAAGGUAAGAUUUUUCAAUUUUAGCUUGUGAUCUACCUUUCCUAUGCAUUCUUUUUCAUUUUCCGUGGUUGAGAAUCAAGUUUGCAUGAGGAUACCUUUGCUGGCCGGACAUGGGGGGAGGAGUUUUGAACUUGGAUUUGGUUAGAUUUCAAUAUAUUCUAGUGUUUUUAGUUAGUGAUGUGUAGCAUGAAAAGCAAAAAAGAAAAAUUCAUUUUCUUCCAUCACCCUCCAUUGGCCGAAUCUUCCUUAUGGUGUGUUGAUGGUGGACUUGAUUUUAUUUCAAGUGAUUUGGUUAGGAAUUAAUGAUUUAUGGUGUAAAAAUCAAGUGAGAAAAAUCAUAGUGUUCAUGCACCCACCAUGGCCGAAAUUCCCAAGAAAAAAUGUGAAGAUGAUCUUACUAAAUUUUAUGUUACUUGACUUGAAUUUGAUGAUUUGGAGUAUUGGGAGAGAAAUGGAGUUAUUUGGAGUUAAAUUGGAUGUAUUGGCUAAUUAAUCGGGUGAUAGAUCGAAUUAGUCCAAUAACAUUUUAUUUAGGUACAUAAUUGAAUUUAUAUUGAACAACGUGUCUAGAUAGUUACUCGAGUAUUUCACAUCCCAUUUCAUGCAUUAGUAUAGAGCCUGAAUUGGUUUUACAACGGUUUAGCACAAAUGUAGCAAAUUGCUUAUUGUGCAUAAUGUCUAGGUGGUGAGCAUUCUCGCAAGAGUAAAGAGGUAGUUUUCGAGGAUCAAGAAUCAGAGUAUCCCGAAUUCGAUUCCCAUUACAGUGAAUAACCUUAUUAUCAUCUUAAUUAUCUAAAGUAUGUUUUUUAUCUGAUAUUGUAAUUUUAUGGAAAAUGUGUUUAAAUGAAAUGAUUUUAUAAAUUGUUUUGAAAUUUAAUGAUGACUUGAAAAUGGAGUAAUUGGAGACUACUUGCUAUAUUGUAAAUUAUGUUUUCAAUUGAAUGGCUUAUGAUAAUGUGGGCAUGAAUGGCUAGAUGGGUAUUUGUGUUGAAAAUGUAUAAACUAUUGUUUGCCUUGAUAGGCUAGAUAAUGAUAAAAUUGCCAUGUCAUGCUGUUGAAUUUUUAUUGAAUUGGUGGGUUAUAGAUUGGUCACUACAGUGGCGAGUUCUGUGGACCAGCUUAUUAGAGGGGCACGAAAUUCGGGUAUAUUCUUACCUCGAUCGGAGAGGCACAUAGGGUAACUCCUGAGGUAAAACUUUAGAGUUCACUUCACGCUGAACCACCACGUGAGGGUGAACUCUGCCAACGCCAAGGAACGGCUAUGUUUUCAAAAUAAAAAACAUGAUUUAUGCGUACAUGACUUUUUAACAGCCUUGGAAGACUUGGUUGGUAUAGCCCCAAGCCAAGGUAUCCCUGACAACUGAGUAUGAGAAUGAUUUUGGCACGAGCCAAGCUUUUCAGGAAAUCAUAAGCCUCGUUGUUUAUUUAGUUGAAAUGAAUCUAUUUUAUCUUAUUAAAAUGAGUUCGAAAUGCUGUGAAUCAGUUUUAUGCUAAUCUAUUUUAUCUGUGUCCAUUUACUCUGCUUUAGAUAUUUUAGAUGGUAUUUUUUUACUCAUUGGGAUUAUAUAAUCUCACCACCCUCCUUUCCACCCAUUUCAGGCUCAGGAUAGUCAGUAGAUAGCUCAUUUCGUUGAGGGUUACAGUUGGACUUGCAUCCUCAAAAACUGUAGGUUCACAGCCUUCAUUACUUUUAGUCAUUCGGGGGCCCACAUGUCAUUGUUAAAUGUUUUGAAUACCUGGCUGCGUGUGCUACUGUAUGUAGGAAUUUAUUUUUCUUUUAUGCUGUAAAAAUUAUUUACGUA
rnacentral:lncRNA from 1 species